rnacentral:rRNA from 1 species
GGGAGGCAGCAGUGAGGAAUCUUCCACAAUGGACGAAAGUCUGAUGGAGCGACACCGCGUGAAGGAUGACGGUCUAACGAUUGUAAACUUCUUUUCUGAGGGAGCAUAAUGAGAGUACCUCAGGAAUAAGGGACGGCUAAUUACGUGCCAGCAGCCGCGGUAAUACGUAAGUCCCAAGCGUUACCCGGAAUUAUUGGGUGUAAAGGGUUCGUAGGUGGAUUUAUAAGUCAGGUAUGAAAGACCGGAGCUCAACUUCGUGUUUGUGCUUGAAACUGUAAAUCUAGAAUCAGGGAGAGGUAAGCGGAAUUCUUAGUGUAGGGGUGCAAUCCGUAGAUACUAAGAAGAACACCAAAAGCGAAGGCAGCUUACUGGAACUGUAUUGACACUGAGGAACGAAAGCGUGGGUAGCGAAAAGGAUUAGAUACCCUUGUAGUCCACGCCCUAAACGAUGAUAACUAAGUGUUGGGAAUUGUCCCAGUGCUGUAGCAAACGCGUUAAGUUAUCCACCUGAGGAGUACGGUCGCAAGAUUAAAACUCAAA